CCGCUGAACCGUUCAUGUCAGGAAGUAUUUUGGAACGUAUUUUUGUAGACAUAGCAUUGCCGUGAACUUUUAUGCUAAUAUACGAACGAGUAAAAAUAGGUUUCAGUUAAUUACGAAAUAAAUGACAAGGUUUUUUGAGCAGCUGAAUGACUAAAUGAACACAGUACUUCUACAUGUGAUUAUUAGAACGAUCUGCCUUCUUUCGUUUUCUUCAUACAUUUAACCAAACCGAUUUUAUAAAUUGGGUUUGUUUUGACGAACGGAAUUAAGAUCGUCGUAAUUUCUCUCGGGAGCGACCUGCCGUGAGGUGGGCAAAUUGGCCAUGUUAGGGGUUGAGUGAAAUUGCUACUUAAUUCAGAGGAAAAGAGGCAUUAAGGACAUUAAGUUAACAUAUGCGAGUUAAUCAAAUAGCACAAAAUAAAUUGCACGUACGUACGCAUUCAAGCAUAAUUACAUGACAAAGCGUGGUUAAGUGUUUUUUCCAAAAGCUGCCAUUAACUGCGGUAAAAUACUCCAUAAAUAAUUGUGGCGACACUUUACAAAGAUCUAUUUCCCAGCAGAUGGUGCUCUUCUUGUCAAGAACUGACAUAAAUUAAUCCUGCAGCUAUAAAACAAACGGUUGUCUGAUAACAAUUCAUUCAGCAGAUCGAGGCGAGCGAAGUAAUUAAAGAUAAAGAAGUUCCGUUCUUGACAAAACACGGUAAUCGAUCAUGGCGAAUUGUAAACUUACAGUCUUUAUUGCCGCGAUUUUCAUCAUACAUUUUGUGUCCUCCAAGUCAUCUCAGUGUGUGACUGACUGUACCAGCGUAUCAAAACAAUGUCUGGACGACUGUGAUGAUCAACUGUGCGCUAAUAAUUGUACUGAGACAAGGGAAAACUGUUACAAAGAGUGUAACACACUUAGAAGAGAAUUUUUCUCUCGUUUUUUCGACGAUCGUUUCAACCCUAAAGAUGAUGUUAAAGACAACGA